rnacentral:rRNA from 1 species
AUCGAACGCUGGCGGCAGGCCUAAUACAUGCAAGUCGAACGAGUGGCGGACGGGUGAGUAAUGUCUGGGAAACUGCCCGAUGGUGGGCGAUCACUCCUGGAAACGGCAGCUAAUACCGCAUACCAUCGGAUGUGCCCAGUGGGGAUGAGCUAGUAGGUGGGGUAACGGCGCCACUAGGCGACGAUCCCUAGCUGGUCUGAGAGGAUGACCAGCCACACGGGAACUGAGAAACGUUCCGGACUCCUACGGUAGGCAGCAGUAGUGAAUAUUGCACAAGGGGCGCAAGCCUGAUGCAGCCAUGCCGGGUGUAUGAAGAAGGCCUUCGGAUUGUGAGGUACUUUCAGCGAGGAGGCGUUACUCACAGAGGAAGCACCGGCUAACUCCGUGCCAGGAGCCGCGGUAAUAC